CAGAGUGACAGGUGGUGCAUGGUUGUCGUCAGCUCGUGUCGUGAGAUGUUGGGUUAAGUCCCGCAACGAGCGCAACCCUUGAUCUUAGUUGCCAGCAUUCAGUUGGGCACUCUAAGGUGACUGCCGGUGACAAACCGGAGGAAGGUGGGGAUGACGUCAAAUCAUCAUGCCCCUUAUGACCUGGGCUACACACGUGCUACAAUGGACAGAACAAAGGGCAGCGAAACCGCGAGGUUAAGCCAAUCCCACAAAUCUGUUCUCAGUUCGGAUCGCAGUCUGCAACUCGACUGCGUGAAGCUGGAAUCGCUAGUAAUCGCGGAUCAGCAUGCCGCGGUGAAUACGUUCCCGGGCCUUGUACACACCGCCCGUCACACCACGAGAGUUUGUAACACCCGAAGUCGGUGAGGUAACCUUUUAGGAGCCAGCCGCCGAAGGUGGGACAGAUGAUUGGGGUGAAGUCGUAACAAG
rnacentral:rRNA from 1 species